GUGGAGACCCCGUCAGUGGGGUGGAGACCCUGUCAUGGCAGCCCCUAUUCUGCUGAAGUGGGGUGGAGACCCCAUCAGUGGGGUGGAGACCCCAUCUUGGCAGAUUUUUCUUCUUCAGAACGGGGUGGAGACCCCGUAAAUGGGGUGGAGACCCCAUUUGGGCAGCCCCGAAUGCUUUGGAACCUCCUUUCCCUUUUCUCCUUCCUUGCUCGCUCGAUCCCUACGCCGUUUCUUCCACCUUUUAGCCUUGAAUCCACCCUUCAUCCUCCUUCUAGGAAACUUACACACACCACAAGAACACAUCAAAAACACCACAUACUUGAGGCCAAACCAUCAAUUUAAGUCGAAACGAAGGCAUUCCAAGUGGAUAUAAAAUCCACUUAUC
rnacentral:lncRNA from 1 species